rnacentral:rRNA from 1 species
AGAGUUUGAUCCUGGCUCAGGAUUAACGCUGGCGGCGUGCCUUAUCAAUGCGAGUCGAACGGUACGAAGGGCUUCGGCCCUUACGACCGUGGCAUCCGGGUGAGUAACACGUAGGUGACCUACCUCUUUGUGGGGGAUAACCCCGGGAAACCGGGGACAAUACCGCAUACGAUCUCGUGAGCAAGCUUACGAGAUGAAAGAUUUAUCGCAGAGAGAGGGGCCUGCGGCCGAUUAGCUAGUUGGCGGGGUAAUGGCCCACCAAGGCAAUGAUCGGUAGCUGGUCUGAGAGGAUGAACAGCCACACUGGGACUGAGAUAUGGUCCAGAGCCCUACGGGGUUUAGCAUGAAGGAAUCUUGCGCAAUGGGGGAAACCCUGACGCAGCAACGCCGCGUGGAUGAAGAAGGCCCUAGGGUCGUAAAGUCCUUUUCCAAGUGAUGAUGAUGACAGUAGCUUGGGAAUAAGUCACGGCCAACUACGUGCCAGCAGCCGCGGCAAUACGUAGGUGGCAAGCGUUAUCCGGAAUUACUGGGCGUAAAGCGCACGUAGGCGGAUUGGUAGGUUGUUCGUGAAAUUCCGAGGCUCAACCUCGGGAGGCCGAGCAAUACCGCCCGUCUUGAGGCUAAGAGAGGGAAGCGGAACUUCCGGUGUAGUGGUGGCAUACGUAGAUAUCGGAAGGAACACCCGUGGCGAAGGCGGCUUCCUGGCUUAGUCCUGACGCUGAGGUGCGAAAGCGUGGGUAGCAAACGGGAUUAGAUACCCCGGUAGUCCACGCUGUAAACGAUGGAUGCUAGGUGU